CACUCCGUUGGGUCUCCGCCCGCACACAGGGCAGGCUGGACUCUCAGAGGAGUUACAUCCUGGUGCAACCGGCAGCCAUCAUCUGUCAGUGCCCAGGCUCCCAUGCUCUGGAGGGACAAUCCUCAAGUAUAUUCUGGGUCCCAGACAACCGAGGCCCCGUCGCCCACAGAGAAGCUUGAGCUAGGAGUAAACCUAGAGUGACCUCACCUCUGUACCUGCUCCAGGACACCCCUGCUGACCUCUCCCCCAGGCCGACUUGAUCCUGUGUCUCCUGCUCUGUCAGACAUCUGUGCAGACAGCCUCAUGACCCACCCCAUCACAUCCGACAGUCACGGUGCAUUUGUGAGCUCGCUCCCCGUGGGGCUCCGAGAUGCUGGCAGACAGGACAGUCUCAUCGCCAUAAGGUCAAGGGGCUCAAGACACCCCUUACCAUAUUGCAGUUGUGAUCAUUGUUAUCAACAAACACAGGGGCUCUGGUGGCCUCCACACUGCCAUUUUGCUUUCCUAGAUGGUAACGGGGUGCUAUGUGGGAAAAACAGGGUUGACGGUUACCUUGAUUACCUGAUUCUUAACUAUUACCUGUGGGUUUAAUAAAGGAGUAGUUACAUGAAAAAUGACAUAUUCACUCAGUAGACUACUCUGCAGCCACUUAUGAUUUUAAAGUGUUU